AGGAUGAACGCUAGCGGCAGGCUUAAUACAUGCAAGUCGAGGGGCAGCAGGGGUAGCAAUACUCGCUGGCGACCGGCAAACGGGUGCGGAACACGUACGCAACCUUCCCAAAACUGAUGAAUAGCCUUCCGAAAGGAAGAUUAAUACAUCGUAAGAUAACGAGAUGGCAUCAUCUUGUUAUUAUAGCUCCGGCGGUUUUGGAUGGGCGUGCGCCUGAUUAGGUAGUUGGCGGGGUAACGGCCCACCAAGCCUGCGAUCAGUAACUGGUGUGAGAGCACGACCAGUCACACGGGCACUGAGACACGGGCCCGACUCCUACGGGAGGCAGCAGUAAGGAAUAUUGGUCAAUGGACGCAAGUCUGAACCAGCCAUGCCGCGUGAAGGAUGAAGGCCCUCUGGGUUGUAAACUUCUUUCAUCUGGGACGAAAAAGGGGAUUCUUCCUCACUUGACGGUACCAGAGGAAUAAGCACCGGCUAACUCCGUGCCAGCAGCCGCGGUAA
rnacentral:rRNA from 1 species